GUGGAUGUGAUGAUUAUUUCCCCAAAUGAUCGAAUCUGAAAUAACUGAGCGCUCAAUUCAUGUUUCUCCUUUUGGUGAAAUUCAAGCCAGAAAUCUGAUCCAU
rnacentral:snoRNA from 2 species